rnacentral:rRNA from 1 species
CCUUGACCUCAAAUCGGGUGAGACUACCCGCUGAACUU